CCUACGGGAGGCAGCAGUAAGGAAUAUUGGUCAAUGGACGAGAGUCUGAACCAGCCAAGUAGCGUGAAGGAUGACUGCCCUAUGGUUUGUAAACUUCUUUUAUAUGGGAGUAAGAUGUUCCAAGUGUGGGAUUUUGUAUGUACCAUAUGAAUAAGGAUCGGCUAACUCCGUGCCAGCAGCCGCGGUAAUACGGAGGAUCCGAGCGUUAUCCGGAUUUAUUGGGUUUAAAGGGAGCGUAGGUGGAUUGUUAAGUCAGUUGUGAAAGUUUGCGGCUCAACCGUACAAGUGCAGUUGAAACUGGCAGUCUUGAGUACAGUAGAGGUGGGCGGAAUUCGUGGUGUAGCGGUGAAAUGCUUAGAUAUCACGAAGAACUCCGAUUGCGAAGGCAGCUCACUGGACUGCAACUGACACUGAGGCUCGAAAGUGUGGGUAGCAAACAGGAUUAGAUACCCUGGUAGUC
rnacentral:rRNA from 1 species